CUGAGUUCAGAACAUCCAAGAGGAAGCCUUUUGCCUUUUUGAACUUCCAGUUUGGAAGCCCCUGCUGAGAGGCUGUGUCUAAAUUUCAGUUUGUCCCCUGGGGUGCAGAGAUCUUGGGGUCUUUUGGACCUUGCCUCUUUUUGUCCCUUGUGGGUUCUCGUUCCUUCAUUUUCAGCCUAUUUUCUUUUAAAAUAAACCCUGUGGUAACCGGGUCUCUGUCAAGGGCAAAAACUCACGUCCCUGUGGUUCCCCAGUUGGAAAGCUCGGGGAAGACUAAAGUCUAUACGAAGAGGACAUCGAUGGAGAAUUCCUCCUGUUCUCGGAGGCGGGGCGACGACACACCGGCACUUGAGGCAGGAGGAGCUGGAGGCUGUUGGGCAUCAUUUUGAUGGAUUUAUCUACAUUUCUCAGGGCGUCCCCCAGGCACGGUCUCUCCGGGAGCUGCCUAAGGGCCUGGAACCAUCAGCCUCCUCUCUCAGGACUGUGGGAACCACCUGCACCAGUUCUGAGAGGCUGAGGUAGAAACUGCAGGAGACUGUGAGGUUGUGGGGCUUCCGUAACAGAUGGGAUGUUACACAGACUGCCUGGGAUCAAGCACCACACACCAGGUGGCGUAAACAACAGAAAUAUUCUGGAAGCUGGAAGUCCGAGACCAAGGUAUGGGCAGGUUAAGGAAAUGUCAUCCAACCUACAGCCAAGACAGGAGCUGUGAUCAACUGGAGGGGACUCAGAGGGCAUUUUCCAACAGCCUGGCGCAAACAGACUAUACCCCACACGUACCGGGGCAGCCAGCCCUGCUCCCCGAGGUGCUGCGGUCAGUCUCCAAGCGUGGGGGCUGAGCCCCUGUGCCCCGUCCUCCUUCCUCCCCCCACUGUGUCCCGGUCUCCAUCACCCCUUUCCUCCCAACACCUCGCUCUGCCAGCACGGUCUUGGAUCACUGUUUCAACUUCCUUCUGAAAUAAAUCUUCUAUU